rnacentral:lncRNA from 1 species
AUACAAUUUCGACCAUACAGGCUCCAUUCCACUUUUCUCUUUUUCUUUUCUUUUAUACUUUUUACUAUUAUCAAUUACAUAUUAUAUUUAUUACUUGCAAAUUCAUCAAGUUUCUACAAUUCACAUAGCAUGCUUGAAAAUAAAAACAAUUCGACUCAUCUGAACACAGAGACAUACAAGAUAGGUAAAAUAACAAUCAUAUU